GUGCUGAGGGCCUCACUGGUGAUCCUGUUUGGUGAUGGUGUCCCUUCGUGUGUAGUGUCUUAUUCACUCCCCUCCUUUGUUUUGCUUUGCCCUUGUGUGUUUGGAGUGUUAAUUUUGGAUUGUGGUGCUCCCAUUUUAAGUUUAUACUUUCACCCCUCACUCACCUUGAGCACAAAUGCCCCAGCCCUGGAAUACAUGAUAAUUUAUACAAAUAGGAUAACUUUUUUAGAUUUGAAUUGUGCCCAAUAAACUGUUGUAUAUGCUUUUGGAAACACGUCUCUCGCCUGCUCAGUGUAACGAACUUGUGUUGUCCUUUUGUUUAGAUUUAGUAAUUUACCUUAUUCAUAGAUUUCUUUCUUUUCCCUGGGUGAUUUCUCCCAGGGUGGCGUUGCUGGUUUCCUUUAGUUUCUUUCUUUUUCCCCUAGUUAAAAACAUAGAUUAUUGGGGUAGUUCCUACCCCACCUCACGCUUGCCACAAACUUGGCGUUGCUGGCAGGACUUAUACUGAAAAAAAAAAAGGCAGAGACGUGUGUUCCUUUGUUUUUUGUUGUUUGUUUUUUUGUUUUUUUUGUUUUUCUGAAUAAGACAAAGCAGCAGCAGUCCCCUGGCAACCAUGGAGGAAGAAAUGCAAGAGUUGCGAGCUCUGGUUGCGCAGUUAAAGGCUGACAAUGAGAGGUUGCGUCAAGCUUCGUUGGUGCCGCCCUCUAGUGCUACACCUUCAACCUCCUCAGUACUGCCGACUGCCCUUACUUCUGCCAGUGCCCCUGCAGCCGAGAGGCCCCACAACCUGUCACGCAGGCAUUACAGGAGUACCAUCAGGUGACCACGCAGACCUCCCAGGAGCUGUCUGGGAAGGCAAAGGUCAGAGAGCAGCAUCUUCAGCGACUUGACGUGGUACUAGCCCGUCUGAAACAGGAGAGACUCAAGGCCAAGCUCUCCAAAUGCACCUUUUUCCAGCCAGAGGUGCGGUAUCUCGGCCACAUUAUAUCGGCCAACGGUGUCGCCACGGACCCAUCCAAAAUAGAGGCCGUGGCAAAGUGGCAGCCUCCCCAGACGGUCUCUGAGCUUCGGUCUUUCCUGGGUUUCGCAAGCUACUAUCGCCGCUUCGUGGAGGGCUUUGCAACGCUGGCAGCCCCCCUCCACCGACUGAUUGCUGAGCUUGGAGGCACAAAGUCUAGACGGGUCCAGCGGUCCCCACAGCUGAGC
ensembl:lncRNA